rnacentral:rRNA from 1 species
CGAACGCUGGCGGCGUGCCUAACACAUGCAAGUCAAGGGGAACACCCGAUUUCGAUUGGGUUAGUAUACUGGCGGACGGGUGAGUAACGCGUAGGCAACCUGCCCUUACGAAUGGGAUAACCCAGCGAAAGCUGGACUAAUACCGUAUAACAUUUUGAUAUCACCUGUUAUUAUAAUCAAAGGUUGCUUUUCGGAGCAAUCGCGUAAGGAUGGGCCUGCGUUCCAUUAGUUAGUUGGUGAGGUAAUGGCUCACCAAGACGACGAUGGAUAGCUGGUUUGAGAGAGUGAUCAGCCACACUGGGACUGAGAUACGGCCCAGACUCCUACGGGAGGCAGCAGUGAGGAAUAUUGCGCAAUGGAGGAAACUCUGACGCAGCAACGCCGCGUGGGGGAUGAAGUUCUAUGGAGCGUAAACCCCUGUAAGUAGGGACGAAUGAUAGGCAUUCGAAUAGGGUGCUUAUGUGACGGUACCUACAGAGUAAGCUCCGGCUAACUCC